rnacentral:lncRNA from 1 species
GCGACCUCCAGCAGGUCUUGUGUCCUCGAGCUCGUCCCCCGGCCACGCCGCUGUGACCCCCGCUGGCCCGACCCUCUCGCGAUCACCGCCCGUCCUUGGCCACGCAGCCGCGAGUCCCUCCCGGAGCUCCGCGGACUCCGGCGCGCCCGGCCGACCCGGACCCAGGCCCUACCCGCGCGGGCCUCAGGGCCACAGGCCGCAAGCCCAUUGGUUGGCACCGUCCACACCCACGCCCAUGGUGGGUCUUCCUUCAAAAUCCAGCAGCUGUUUCAAAAUUGAUACGGAGACGUGGAGGACGCACAGCAGCAGAAACAUUUUGAGAAAGAAAAGCAAAGAAGACUUCAGAUGCGGACCUGCUCACUUGCGACAGCCAAUCGAUCACACACAGGAGCUGGUGACCUCGAGGGAAAGGGACAGUGCUCAGUCAAGGGGCCCCAAGAACAGCGGGCUGUGGAUGUGGGCAGACGUGAGCCUCGGCCUGGGGCGGCUCCCGGGCAGGCACUCCCUAGCAUUCUGGAGGCUGGGGCUGUUCCCGAACCACACUCCAAGGUGAGCACACUGUGCACACACAUCAGUUCGAAGUGCAUGAUGGACUGAAAUGAAAAGCCCCUGCUCAGGCCCACAGCCCACAGCUAGAUACCUUGUG